UUUCCUGGAGAAGCAGAGAUGAAGAUGUCGCUAUGCAAGCCAACAUAGUAAUCAACUGCAGCUAACAGAGAAGCCUUUCCUUUAAUCUGUGUACGUUCUUCUGAAGAGGCAAGACUCUUUUUGUCUUCCAUUAGAGGAAACAAUUUUCGUAAAGUUGAUAUCCUAUCCCACCAUACACCUUGUGAGAAGCAAGGUAUAGACGAGUACUGUUGUCAAAGCCCAAAGCUGCUAGAAGUAAUCCAAUCUCUUCUGGAGUCAAUGGGCAACGACCCUGACUCCUCAAUUCUUCGUCAGUGAACUGCGAGUUAAGGACUCUUCC
rnacentral:misc_RNA from 1 species